CCGCAAGGUUAAAACUCAAAUGAAUUGACGGGGGCCCGCACAAGCGGUGGAGCAUGUGGUUUAAUUCGAUGCAACGCGAAGAACCUUACCUGGUCUUGACAUCCACAGAAGAAUCCAGAGAUGGAUUUGUGCCUUCGGGAACUGUGAGACAGGUGCUGCAUGGCUGUCGUCAGCUCGUGUUGUGAAAUGUUGGGUUAAGUCCCGCAACGAGCGCAACCCUUAUCCUUUGUUGCCAGCGGUUAGGCCGGGAACUCAAAGGAGACUGCCAGUGAUAAACUGGAGGAAGGUGGGGAUGACGUCAAGUCAUCAUGGCCCUUACGACCAGGGCUACACACGUGCUACAAUGGCGCAUACAAAGAGAAGCGACCUCGCGAGAGCAAGCGGACCUCAUAAAGUGCGUCGUAGUCCGGAUUGGAGUCUGCAACUCGACUCCAUGAAGUCGGAAUCGCUAGUAAUCGUGGAUCAGAAUGCCACGGUGAAUACGUUCCCGGGCCUUGUACACACCGCCCGUCACACCAUGGGAGUGGGUUGCAAAAGAAGUAGGUAGCUUAACCUUCGGGAGGGCGCUUACCACUUUGUGAUUCAUGACUGGGGUGAAGUCGUAACAAGGUAACCGUAGGGGAACCUGC
rnacentral:rRNA from 1 species